rnacentral:rRNA from 1 species
GAAGGGACCCUAGCGUAGUUCGGAAUUACUGGGCUUAAAGAGUUCGUAGGUGGUUAAAAAAGUUGGUUGUGAAAUCCCGGAGCUUAACUCCGGAACUGCAAUCAAAACUUUUUAGCUAGAGUAUGAUAGAGGAAAGCAGAAUUUCUAGUGUAGAGGUGAAAUUCGUAGAUAUUAGAAAGAAUACCGAUUGCGAAGGCAGCUUUCUGGAUCAUUACUGACACUGAGGAACGAAAGCAUGGGUAGCGAAGAGGAUUAGAUACCCUCGUAGUCCAUGCCGUAAACGAUGUGUGUUAGACGUUGGAAAUUUAUUUUCAGUGUCGCAGCGAAAGCAAUAAACACACCGCCUGGGGAGUACGACCGCAAGGUUAAAACUCAAAUGAAUUGACGGGGACCCGCACAAGUAGUGGAGCAUGUGGUUUAAUUCGAAGAUACGCGCAGAACCUUACCAACACUUGACAUGUUCGUCGCGACUCUAAGAGAUUAGAGUUUUCGGUUCGGCCGGACGAAACACAGGUGCUGCAUGGCUGUCGUCAGCUCGUGUCGUGAGAUGUUGGGUUAAGUCCCGCAACGAGCGCAACCCUCACUUUUAGUUGCCAUCAUUUAGUUGGGCACUCUGAAAGAACUGCCAGUGAUAAGCUGGAGGAAGGUGGGGAUGACGUCAAGUCCUCAUGGCCCUUAUGUGUUGGGCUACACACGUGCUACAAUGGUAUCUACAACAGGAAGCAAGAUGGCGACAUCAAGCAAAUCCCGAAAAGAUACCUCAGUUCGGAUUGCACUCUGCAACUCGAGUGCAUGAAGCUGGAAUUACUAGUAAUCGUGGAUCAGCGUGCCACGGUGAAUGCGUUCCCGGGUCUU